rnacentral:lncRNA from 1 species
AGGAGGUGGUCUUGUCGUAGGAGCAAGAACAUUCUGAAUGCUUGUCUUCUGGGAACUCAUUCUGUCAAAAUUGCUUAAAUUUGGUGUUGGUUUUAGUUUGUGUAUGGAAAAUGAAACAUGGGCAUGUGGGUGGUAUGUAUUUAUAGCCAUUAAUUUGUUCAAUUAAUGCAUGGAAGUUACCAAAUGAUUGAUGGUGUAAUAUACAAAGAAAUUCC